AAAUUGAAGAGUUUGAUCAUGGCUCAGAUUGAACGCUGGCGGCAGGCCUAACACAUGCAAGUCGAACGGUAACAGGAAGCAGCUUGCUGCUUCGCUGACGAGUGGCGGACGGGUGAGUAAUGUCUGGGAAACUGCCUGAUGGAGGGGGAUAACUACUGGAAACGGUAGCUAAUACCGCAUAACGUCGCAAGACCAAAGAGGGGGACCUUCGGGCCUCUUGCCAUCGGAUGUGCCCAGAUGGGAUUAGCUUGUUGGUGGGGUAACGGC
rnacentral:rRNA from 1 species